UGUAACACUUUCGGUUACAUAAAACUUUAGCUAAUAAUACACACAGCACAAACAAGCAAUUAUGUCGUAAUAUCUUCACUGUGCCGUACCUGCGAGCUUAUAAAUACAAAGUGGAAGGGAUAACCUAAUUGAAAAGAUAAUUGAGAGUGUACCAUAAAUAUUGGAUAAUUACUGUUAGUGCAAACUUGCAUCUUUGCAACCAAUCACUGGCAUGAAAUAAAGGCAUUGAAAUGCAAAGCAUCGUAUGCAAUGUUUACUUUUACCACAGUGGUUUCACUUUUGUUACUACAUAGAACUAGCCACUUUUGGGGACAUUUAGAGAACUAACUGUUUGUGGUUGACAUGCACAUUUUGUGUUGCAGUUUCAUAUAGCCUUCUGGCUAAGAAAGGUUUUGUGUUGCAGUUUCAUAUAGCCUUGUGGCUAAGAAAGGUUUUGUGUUGCAGUUUCAUAUAGCCUUGUGGCUAAAAAAGGUUUUGUGUUGCAGUUUCAUAUAGCCUUGUGGCUAAGAAAGGUUUUGUGUUGCAGUUUCAUAUAGCCUUGUGGCUAAGAAAGGUUUUGUGUUGCAGUUUCAUAUAGCCUUGUGGCUAAGAAAGGUUUUGUGUUGCAGUUUCAUAUAGCCUUGUGGCUAAGAAAGGUUUUGUGUUGCAGUUUCAUAUAGCCUUGUGAAUAAGAAAGGGUUUGUGUUGCUGUUUCAUAUAGCCUUGUGGCUAAGAAAGGUUUUGUGUUGCAGUUUCAUAUAGCCUUGUGAAUAAGAAAGGGUUUGUGUUGCUGUUUCAUAUAGCCUUGUGGCUAAGAAAGGUUUUGUGUUGCAGUUUCAUAUAGCCUUGUGGAUAAGAAAGGGUUUGUGUUGCUGUUUCAUAUAGCCUUGUUGCUAAGAACGGUUUUGUGUUGCAGU